UAGGGUGUUCCAUAAGGUGUUCCAUAAGGUGUUCCAUAAGGUGUUCCCGUAGGGUGUUCCAUAAGGUGUUCCCGUAGGGUGUUCCAUAAGGUGUUCCAUAAGGUGUUCCCGUAGGGUGUUCCAUAAGGUGUUCCAUAAGGUGUUCCAUAAGGUGUCCCAUAAGGUGUUC